rnacentral:rRNA from 1 species
GAUCAUGGCUCAGGAUGAACGCUGGCGGCGUGCCUAACACAUGCAAGUCGAGCGAUUCUCUUCGGAGAAGAGCGGCGGACGGGUGAGUAACGCGUGGGUAACCUGCCUCAUACACAUGGAUAACAUACCGAAAGGUAUGCUAAUACAGGAUAACAUAAGAGAUUCACAUGGAUUUCUUAUCAAAGCUCCGGCGGUAUGAGAUGGACCCGCGUCUGAUUAGCUAGUUGGUAAGGUAACGGCUUACCAAGGCGACGAUCAGUAGCCGACCUGAGAGGGUGAUCGGCCACAUUGGAACUGAGACACGGUCCAAACUCCUACGGGAGGCAGCAGUGGGGAAUAUUGCACAAUGGGCGAAAGCCUGAUGCCAGCAACGCCGCGUGAGUGAUGAAGGCCUUCGGGUCGUAAAACUCUGUCCUCAAGGAAGAUAAUGACGGUACUUGAGGAGGAAGCCCCGGCUAACUACGUGCCAGCCGCUGC